rnacentral:lncRNA from 1 species
AUGAUGGUGCCGCACUCUGUGAAGGCUCUGCGUGGAGCCCUCUUUCUCCCGGCAAUCAGGAGCUGUGGUCUUGCUAGAACGCACAGUAAAGAGCACGAGAAACUGCUAAGUAGAAGGUGGGUUUUUAUUUCCCAUCAGCUUGUCUAUAUUUAUGCCUCUCUUUGCAGUGUAGUGGUAUUUUUUUCUCAGUCCUCUAGGGCAGUUUCCUUUUAUUUUGUCCCAAUGCAUUAUUAAACAUUACUUUGCGAUAAAAAUAAUUUAACAAUUUUUUUUCCAAAUUGUAAUACGUCUUCUCUAAGUUUUGCAUCCUGCUGAGACAUAGUUUAAUAGGGAAUGCCAAACUGAAGCUUAUGCCAUAUUAGAUGUGUUGUGCAAAUUCUGAAAAUGAAACUUGCGUAAGACAAUGACAUGUCACAGUUUAUUAGGACUGUCAAAACCUUUUUUAAAGAGUCAUUAUACCAGUAAUUUUUGCUGACAUCAUAGAAUAUAGGGCACGCUCAUUAGGAUAAAUGUAACUGUAAAAUAAAUUAAACAAAAUUAAACA